AAACUUGUUUUCCAUUGAUUGACAAAGUUAUGAAACAUUUGUACACACAUUUCAAUCAUAAUAAACAAACAAAUCUUGUCCGAAGAUGUUCAUUAUCUGAAAUAUCAUCUGGGGCGACCAUCAAGAAAAUACAAAUAAGGAACUUAUAUUCUGAUAAUCAUCUCAAAGAGGAUGCUGCAUCAGCCAGCCUCAUGGUGAGGGUCCCACAGAGACAACUAGCAGAUGGCCCCACUAACAAGCAAAGAAAAGACUGCUCGCUACAGGCAGCGGAAAAUGCUGUUCAAUGUGUCUGCAGAAUGCUGCUAUGUUCAACUGUUAAAUGAAAAUAGUAAUGAAAAUGCAAACAUUGUAUGUUUAAGUGAUUAAUGAAAUGAAAAUGAAAAAGGAAAAUGCUGUUCAAUGUUAUGUCCAAGCAUUUAAUGCAUUAGUAUUGAAGAUUUUAAUAUGAUGGUUUUGUGUCAAAUGAAAUAGUGAGGAUACUGUUAAUGUUAUGAAAUGUGUCAAAUGAAAUGGAUAUGCUGAUUCUUCAUAAAAUUUCAUUAAAUAUGCUGAUUAUUCAUAAAAUUCCAUUAAAUGUGUUUUAACUAUCAAAAUCAUUGAAUAGUCUUAAUUGCCUGCUGUUUUUCAUCAUGUGGGGCGACCAUUUGUCAUGUGGGGUAACCAACUAUAUUCAAUUCUG